GCCCCAGUAACUCAGCUGGAUAGAGUAGUUGAUUUCUAAUCAACCUGUCGCAGGUUCGAGUCCUGCCUGGGGUG
rnacentral:tRNA from 1 species